rnacentral:rRNA from 1 species
UGCGUAGGCGGACUAAUAAGUCAGUGGUGAAAUCUUUCGGCUCAACCGAGAAACUGCCAUUGAUACUGUUAGUCUUGAGUUCGGUUGAGGUAGGCGGAAUGUGUAAUGUAGCGGUGAAAUGCUUAGAUAUUACACAGAACACCAAUUGCGUAGGCAGCUUACUAGACCGAUACUGACGCUGAGGCACGAAAGCGUGGGGAGCGAACAGGAUUAGAUACCCUGGUAGUCC